GAUGAACGCUGGCGGCGUGCCUAAUACAUGCAAGUCGAGCGAACAGACGAGGAGCUUGCUCCUCUGACGUUAGCGGCGGACGGGUGAGUAACACGUGGAUAACCUACCUAUAAGACUGGGAUAACUUCGGGAAACCGGAGCUAAUACCGGAUAAUAUAUUGAACCGCAUGGUUCAAUAGUGAAAGACGGUUUUGCUGUCACUUAUAGAUGGAUCCGCGCCGCAUUAGCUAGCUGGUAAGGUAACGGCUUACCAAGGCAACGAUGCGUAGCCGACCUGAGAGGGUGAUCGGCCACACUGGAACUGAGACACGGUCCAGACUCCUACGGGAGGCAGCAGUAGGGAAUCUUCCGCAAUGGGCGAAAGCUUGGCGGAGCAACGCCGCGUGAGUGAUGAAGGUCUUCGGAUCGUAAAACUCUGUUAUUAGGGAAGAACAAAUGUGUAAGUAACUAUGCACGUCUUGACGGUACCUAAUCAGAAAGCCACGGCUAACUACGUG
rnacentral:rRNA from 1 species